rnacentral:rRNA from 1 species
CAUCCAGAGAAUUUAGCAGAGAUGCUUUAGUGCCUUCGGGAACUCUGAGACAGGUGCUGCAUGGCUGUCGUCAGCUCGUGUUGUGAAAUGUUGGGUUAAGUCCCGNAACGAGCGCAACCCUUAUCCUUUGUUGCCAGCACGUAAUGGUGGGAACUCAAAGGAGACUGCCGGUGAUAAACCGGAGGAAGGUGGGGAUGACGUCAAGUCAUCAUGGCCCUUACGAGUAGGGCUACACACGUGCUACAAUGGCGCAUACAAAGAGAAGCGACCUCGCGAGAGCAAGCGGACCUCAUAAAGUGCGUCGUAGUCCGGAUUGGAGUCUGCAACUCGACUCCAUGAAGUCGGAAUCGCUAGUAAUCGUAAAUCAGAAUGUUACGGUGAAUACGUUCCCGGGCCUUGUACACACCGCCCGUCACACCAUGGGAGUGGGUUGCAAAAGAAGUAGAUAGCUUAACCUUCGGGAGGGCGUUUACCACUUUGUGAUUCAUGACUGGGGUGAAGUCGUAACAAGGUAGGCGUAGUGCU